rnacentral:lncRNA from 1 species
UAGGAUUUAGGGGUUUUGACAAGUUUGGGUUGGUAUUUAGAUUAGGGUUCUAUGUCAGAACCCUAGGGUUCUCUCUUGAACUCAUUCAGAGUCUAAGAAUUUGACUCGGCCUUUUGUAAUAACCAUGGAUCUUUUCUAUAUGAUGUUCUCUUAUUUGUGCAAGUCUGUAUGCUUUUAGAUGAUAAAUUCUCCUAUUUCAAAAGGCCUUUGGCCAG